GAACGGCCAUGCACCACCACCC
rnacentral:siRNA from 1 species